ACUUGGCAGAGAACCAAUUCAAAUGCAAAUCCACAUCACAAAACCGUUGAGUAUUGAAUAAGGCCUGUUUUAUACGUCGAAUUUCGGUCGCGUCGAAUGCAAUUCAAACAAUAGAUAAUGGAGCUUAAUGAGGUUUAUCAUCUCAUUAUCUAUUGUCUUAGUUGCAUUCGACGCGACCAAAAUUCGACGUAUAAAACAGGCCUAAGU